GAUUUCAACUGAAAAAGUCAUCAACAACAAAAUUGUAUAACUCAUCAAGUUCUAUAACUUUUAUUUUGGUCAUUUCUACAUCCGACAAAGUGAUAGUAACAUUGUUCACAAAAUUUACAUCUCUGUCAUUUGUUUUUAUAAACUAGAAGAGAGAGAUGUAAAUUUUGUGAACAAUGUUAUUAUCACUUUGUCGGAUGAAGAAAUGACUAAAAUAAAAGUUGUAUGUCUUGAUGAGUUCUACAACUUUUAUGUUCAUGACUUUUUCAGCUGAAUUU
rnacentral:pre_miRNA from 1 species